AGAGUUUGAUCAUGGCUCAGAUUGAACGCUGGCGGAAUGCUUUACACAUGCAAGUCGAACGGCAGCACGGACUUCGGUCUGGUGGCGAGUGGCGAACGGGUGAGUAACAUAUCGGAACGUAUCCAAUAAUGGGGGAUAACUAAUCGAAAGGUUGGCUAAUACCGCAUACGCCCUACGGGGGAAAGCUAGGGACCUUCGGGCCUGGCGUUAAUGGAGCGGCCGAUAUCUGAUUAGCUAGUUGGUGGGGUAAAGGCCCACCAAGGCGACGAUCAGUAGCUGGUCUGAGAGGACGACCAGCCACACUGGAACUGAGACACGGUCCAGACUCCUACGGGAGGCAGCAGUGGGGAAUUUUGGACAAUGGGCGCAAGCCUGAUCCAGCCAUGCCGCGUGAGUGAAGAAGGCCUUCGGGUUGUAAAGCUCUUUCGCAAGGGAAGAAACGAUGUAAGUGAAUAGCUUAUGUUAAUGACGGUACCUUGAUAAGAAGCACCGGCUAACUA
rnacentral:rRNA from 1 species